UAUGGAACGCUCUUUUUCCCGCUGUUNUNCNAGCUUUUUUUNGGGGUUUUCUGCCUGAUUUUGAUUCUCUGCUUCUGGUUGAGCCCNUCUUUANUAUGCUUCCUUUGUGAANCCGGGGCCUAACGGGUGUNACCCCGGGUGGUCCUCCCCGUUAUCCUGUGUUGACUUUGAGAGUUUGCCCCUUUNAGGCCGGUGCUUUUCGGGAUCCUUACCGNUGUUUUUUGUCGCCCGCUUGUGGGUGGAGUUUCGGCCUUCUCCNUGNGGUUUUAAUACGCUNCAAUAUGGAAUUGUCCCGGGGGGCCNCUCGGCNUCUACCUGGGUUGGNUGAUAUUGGGUUUUAUUUUUGUAUGCCUAUCCUGAUAGUCUCCUGUUCCGUUCUCUUUGACUCANAUCCUAGUAGUAUCCUUUAGCUAGUAGUNUGCUUUUUGGGUGCCCUUCGGGUACUUCUUGNNGUNCAGGUGCUUGNCNUUGGGCUGUUUCGUCUUGCUCUGUGUUUNGUUGUAUUAUUGUUUGGGGUUUUNGUCCCCGCCUUUCUCGUGCCGGCUUCCCCUUUAUCCUUUGUUGCCUUGCGGUUCCGGCCCGGGGUACUCNUUNAGGUAGACUUGCCAGUGUAUUAUACUGGUAGGUUAGGUUGGGGUAUGUACGUCUAAGUCUAUCUAAUGGCCCUUUACNGAGUUAGGGCUUCUACUACGUGCUUACUUAUGGCGCUAUUACUUAUAGUAGAAGCNGUACCUCGCGAAGUAGCNAUAGCGGACCUCUAAUAAAGUGCGUCGUAGUCCGGAUUUGGAGUCUGCNACUUCGACUCCUAUGAAGUCGGAAUCGCUAGUAAUCGUGGAUCUAGAUAUGCCACGGUGAUAUACGUUCCCGGGCCUUGUACUACACCGCCCGUCUACACCUAUGGGAGUGGGUGCUACCUGAAGUAGUAGUCUACCUUCGGGAGGACGGUUACCACGGUGUGAUUCAUGACUGGGGUGAAGUCGUACAAGGUAGCCGUAGGGGUAACCUGCGGCUGGAUCACCUCCUGUAAAACGACAGGCCUAGUUGUUAGAUCUUUGAAAACCAACCCGGNUCAUGCUUAGAGCAUAACACGCGCGUGUCGUUUUAGUUCA
rnacentral:rRNA from 1 species